rnacentral:rRNA from 1 species
CCUACGGGAGGCAGCAGUGGGGAAUAUUGGGCAAUGGGCGCAAGCCUGACCCAGCAACGCCGCGUGAAGGAAGAAGGCUUUCGGGUUGUAAACUUCUUUUCUCAGGGACGAAGCAAGUGACGGUACCUGGGGAAUAAGCCACGGCUAACUACGUGCCAGCAGCCGCGGUAAUCCGUAGGUGGCAAGCGUUAUCCGGAUUUACUGGGUGUAAAGGGCGUGUAGGCGGGACGGCAAGUCAGAUGUGAAAGCCACGGGCUCAACCUGUGGCCUGCAUUUGAAACUGUAGUUCUUGAGUACUGUGGAGGCAGACGGAAUUCGUAGUGUAGCGGUGAAAUGCGUAGAUAUUAGGAGGAACACCAGUGGCGAAGGCGGUCUGCUGGACAGCAACUGACGCUGAGGCGCGAAAGCGUGGGGAGCAAACAGGAUUAGAUACCCCGGUAGUC